rnacentral:rRNA from 1 species
UACGAAGGGGGCUAGCGUUGUUCGGAAUCACUGGGCGUAAAGGGCGCGUAGGCGGUUGGGGCAGUCUGUGGUGAAAGCUCGUGGCUCAACUACGAGUCGGCCUGGAUACUCCUCGACUUGAGUACUGCAGGGGAGACUGGAAUUCCUGGUGUAGCGGUGGAAUGCGCAGAUAUCAGGGAGGAACACCGGUGGGCGAAAGGCGGGUCUCUGGGCAGUAACUGACGCUGGAGGAGCGAAAGCGUGGGGAGC